rnacentral:rRNA from 1 species
UACGUAGGCAGCGAGCGUUGUUCGGAAUUACUGGGCGUAAAGAGUGUGUAGGCGGUGCUCUAAGUUCGGUGUGAAAUCUCCUGGCUCAACUGGGAGGGUGCGCCGGAAACUGGAGUGCUUGAGCGUGGGAGAGGAAAGCGGAAUUCCUGGUGUAGCGGUGAAAUGCGCAGAUAUCAGGAGGAACACCGGUGGCGAAGGCGGGUCUCUGGGCAGUAACUGACGCUGAGGAGCGAAAGCGUGGGGAGCGAACAGG